rnacentral:rRNA from 1 species
UACGUAGGGACCAAGCGUUGUUCGGAUUUACUGGGCGUAAAGGGCGCGUAGGCGGCAAUUCAAGUCAGUUGUGAAAUCUCCGAGCUUAACUCGGAACGGUCAACUGAUACUGUUUUGCUAGAGUACAGAGGGGGCAAUCGGAAUUCUUGGUGUAGCGGUGAAAUGCGUAGAUAUCAAGAGGAACACCUGAGGUGAAGACGGGUUGCUGGGCUGAUACUGACGCUGAGGCGCGAAAGCUAGGGUAGCAAACGGG